AGAGUUUGAUCCUGGCUCAGGAUGAACGCUAGCGGCAGGCCUAACACAUGCAAGUCGAGGGGCAGCACGUUAAAGAGUUUACUCUUUAUGGUGGCGACCGGCGGACGGGUGCGUAACGCGUAUGCAACCUGCCUGACACAGGGGGAUAAUCCGAAGAAAUUUGGUCUAAUACCCCAUAAUACCGAUAUAGGCAUCUAUGUUGGUUGAAAGCUUUGGUGGUGUCAGAUGGGCAUGCGUUGUAUUAGCUAGUUGGUGAGGUAACGGCUCACCAAGGCGACGAUACAUAGGGGGACUGAGAGGUUAACCCCCCACACUGGUACUGAGACACGGACCAGACUCCUACGGGAGGCAGCAGUGAGGAAUAUUGGUCAAUGGGCGGAAGCCUGAACCAGCCAUGCCGCGUGCAGGAAGACGGCUCUAUGAGUUGUAAACUGCUUUUGUACGAGGGUAAACUCACCUACGUGUAGGUGACUGAAAGUAUCGUACGAAUAAGGAUCGGCUAACUCCGUGCCAGCAGCCGCGGUAAUACGGAGGAUCCAAGCGUUAUCCGGAUUUAUUGGGUUUAAAGGGUGCGUAGGCGGCAGAUUAAGUUAGAGGUGAAAUUCCGAGGCUCAACCUUGGCACUGCCUCUGAUACUGGUUUGCUAGCGAGUAGAUGCUGUAGGCGGAAUGUGUGGUGUAGCGGUGAAAUGCAUAGAGAUCACACAGAACACCGAUUGCGAAGGCAGCUUACAAAUCUAUAUCGGACGCUGAGGCACGAAAGCGUGGGGAGCAAACAGGAUUAGAUACCCUGGUAGUCCACGCAGUAAACGAUGAUAACUCGUUGUCGGCGAUACACAGUCGGUGACUAAGCGAAAGCGAUAAGUUAUCCACCUGGGGAGUACGUUCGCAAGAAUGAAACUCAAAGGAAUUGACGGGGGCCCGCACAAGCGGAGGAACAUGUG
rnacentral:rRNA from 1 species